rnacentral:lncRNA from 1 species
AUCACUGUGGAAAUAAACACAGACCAAUUGAAACAAGCAGGGCCUGUUUAUUUAGAUAUUGCUGAACAAGGAGGUCAGUACAUUUCCUUGUGUUUCCAUAAAAGGUCCAAUGCAGGUGGGGGGUUCUGGUGUGUGUGUGUGUGUGUGUGUGUGUGUGUGUGUGUGUGGUGGGAACCUGUUAAAAAAGGGAAAAUCUCCAGCUGAGGCAUAGGCAGAAUUUCUUGCCCUAAGAGAGCUGGAGGGUUGAAGCUCACUAGGAAGGGGCCUUCUAUGUGACUGGGUAGGGAACACACUUGGCCUUUUCUGGUUUGUCUCUAAGAAUUUAAAUAUGAACUAGGAAGGCUGUCAGUAUUAGGUGAGUACUUACCACACUGAGCCAUUUGUCUCCAAGACUGCCUGGUUCAUGGAGAGUUGGUUGAAUCAGAACGUGACCUUAUUGGAAUCUGACUGUCGGCAUUCUACUUUCUUUCUGGUUGGGAUAAAUGGGAUGAUUUCCUAGGCUGCUGUUGUAAGUUAUUCAGCUCUACAUAUCCUCUGUUUUAUGUUAGGCUCCCAGUUUGCUAUUUUUUAAAAAUAGAACAUGAUUUUAGUUAACAGGGCCCAUCUCAUCACUAAAUCAAAAUGAUUGAAACACGUAUUUAGAAUUUCUGCUACUUGCAGCAAGGGUGGAGGUAGUUCCUGCCUAUAAACAUCAGCUUCUCAGGAGGCUGAGUCAGGAGGAGGUCUGUAAGGGAAAGGGCAGUCUAGGCUGCAUAGCAUGAUCUGACCUUUACAGAAAUAAUAAAUAAAUAAAUACAUGCAAAUUAAAAUAUCUUCCUAGAUGUAAUAGCAUUGUAUUGAUUUUACAAAAACAUUUUGAUAGUAGUUUCUAAGUGGGAAUUUGAUAUGGAAUUGAUUUCAGACCUCAUUUGAAUGGGUAAUAUUUUUCUUUCUUUCUACUAGGUAUGUAGUAAGAAUUUCCUUAGUUUCACAUACAAUUUUAAUGCAUUUAACUAAUAAUUCUAUGCUUUUAAUAUGUAAGGCUAACAAACUAGAUCAUUCUAAAGGACAGAUAAUUAGGAAGUAAUUUACUAAUGCCUUUGGGGGGGUGAAGUAUAUUUUACUCUUUGUAUAGUUUAUUUAAGACAGGUAAUUGGCUUCUGUAACUUGAUUCAACCAACUACAGACUGGAAAUACUCACUUAAAACGUGUAUCUGUCCUGAGCAUGUAGAGAAUUAUGUCUUGUCCUUAUUCGCUAAAAAAGAGGUGUGAUGACACUGCGUAGUAUUAUGGCAACAUUUCUAUUGUAUCAGAUAUCAGAAAUAAUCUAGAAGUAAUUUAAAAUGUGCAGGAAAAAAUGUUCAUAUGUUACAUGCAACCGCUUUACCAUUUCCUAUAAGAGAUUUGAGAAUUCAUAGAUUUUGACAUCCAAAAGGGAAGAAAGGAAGUUUCAGGAACUGACCCUUUAUGGAUUCUGGGGGGAAGAUUACACUUUUUCUAAAUAUGAUUUUUUUUAUGAUUGAACUGUAUUCUUAUAAUGCUCUAUUAUAUGGCAAGCCUCUUCCCGUGGUGAUGCCACAUAAACAUCUGCUCACCCCAGGUAGGGAGCUAAUGACAGACAGGUAAUAUCAGAUUCCAACUUAGUAAACCAAUGAGUUUUACUGAGAUUGUUUACAAGAUUAGGGGUGAGGGGAUACUUUCAAGAGUAGAAAUGACUCGUAGAAAGCUGCAUUAUCAAGCCCUCUCCAACAUGGGUGUCAGCUCAGAAAAAUCUGGGGAGCUGGAGCAUACUACACGGUCUACAGACAGAUAAAAAUAUUUGGACAGUGUCCUUUUAAAAUGACUCAGUUGGUCUACACUUCUUCAGGAGAUGGUUGGUUGAUAGUUUGCUUUUUCAAAGUAGCUGGCCUGCUCUUAGAGUCUCCUUUGCAGCUUCACCUUGUCUGAGUGUAGCCGUCAGCUCUCUGCAUUGCUAAUUCUGGGAGGGAAGGGCCUAGUGAAACUGGUCAGUUUCAGGGACUUCCUGAAGCUGUUAGGAGAUGUUUUAAGGAGCUUCCUUUGGAUGUUCUACUCUGAGAAAAGUUCUACACAACAGGCUCUGAUAGAGAGGAUUCCAAAACAUAAUAAUUUAUGGAGAUUAACUUGUAAAGAAGUGAAAUUUGACAAGGAACAAGCCACCAAGGAAAACUAAGAGUUAAUUGUUUCCAUGUAAUGAUUCAUUGUGGAAUUGCUAUGAUGUGGCAUUUAAAUCUGUCCUCUUCUGUUGCAUGUCUUGCCUUGGGGGUAUUAGUCUGUUAUGCAGAUGACUAAAAGCUGCUAAGGCAGAAGAUUUGAUAUACCAAAGGAGUAAAGAGUUCCUGUUACUUGGAAUUACUUGGGAAAUUUAUAUCUCUGGGUGUCAUGAAGACAAAUAAGGCAAGGCUUAGCUCUCAGUUUUCAUACUGUAUCUUCCAAGUGAAGAAUCCUCUCCUUGGCUCUUUUGUGUAAAUUUGCUUCAUGUAAGAAGUCAGGGAACUCAAUACUUUUAGAAAGGAAAAAGAAUAGGGGGAGAAACUCUUCCCCAACUUUCUAGUUCCAGGUGAACUUUGAAUGCAUGGAGGGCAUUUGUUCUUUUUGUGUUCAUCCAUUGAGCUAUCAGCAAAUUUCUAAGCAGAGAUCAGUUUUGUGUUCUACACUGAGAAGUUGCUGUGUUACUCUGAAAACAUAUAUAUAUAUAUGUGUGUGUGUGUGUGUCUAUGUAUGUAUGUAUGUAUUUGAGUCUCUAACCUAUAUAACGCU